CUUGCAAUGUUAGUCCUGCACCUUAUGAAAUAGCCACCAAAUGAAACAUAUGCUUUGUUGAAACUUUGCUGUUAUGAAAGUAUUUCUUUUCUUGUUAUUACUGGCUGAGAAUUUCUUCCAGAUGCUUCCCCAACUUAGGAUACCUUGGCAAUUCCAUUAGAGCUUGUAAUCCUAGACAGUGUGGGUAUACUUAGAACUGGCAGGACCAGCAUAGCCACUUCCAGGAUCAAUUUGUGGGAAAGGCCUUUAAGAAGCGGAUUUGUAUCAGAUUGUGAUAUAAAUCAAUAAAAAGAGCUUUCUAUCUAAUAAAUGUUUAGAAAAUGUAUUUUUAGAGCUUGAACUGUUAGAAGCCUGUAACCCAAGAGUAGGAUUACAUAGGCUAUGCCGGGCAAUAUUUGAUGUACUUUUCCUAUUGGCACAAUAGAAUUUAAGAAUUUGAAAAGCAGGUAUAGUAUUUUAAAUAAUUAAUUAAUUAAUUUUUGCAGUGCUGGAUAUCAAACUUAAGACCCUGAGCAUGCCAGGCAAGUAUUGCACCACUGAGUUCCAUCCCAUUCCGUUUUUAAACAAAAUGUACCUUAUACACUGAGGACCUUAUGCACAUUUAUUCAAUACACCUUAGCAGAGGCUUGCCAUUUAC
rnacentral:lncRNA from 1 species